UCAGCUGUAAACUAUGAUAGCUAAACUACAAGCUGUCCGCCAGAGAACUACAAGCGAAAAGCUUAAAACUCAAAGGGCUUGACGGUGUCCCACACCAACCUAGAGGAGCCUGUCCUAUAAUCGAUAAUCCGCGCUUCACCCUACCUGCCCUAGCCCCCAUUCAGCCUAUAUACCGCCGUCUCCGGCCUACCUAAUGAUAGCCCCACAGUAGGCACCCCUGGUCAACCCCAGACACGACAGGUCAAGGUGUAGCUAAUGGGCAGGUCGAAGAUGGGCUACAUUUUCUUAACCAAGAAAAAACCAAAAGCAUUAUGAAACCCCGCCACAAAGGAGGAUUUAGCAGUAAGCCUGAAAUAAACUACGCCAGACUGAACUAUGUCCUGGGCCG
rnacentral:rRNA from 1 species